GAUAUUGAUAUUUCUUUGGAAAAUGAGCAAAAUAUAGAUGAUCCUUUCCAUAAAUUCAAGAAAUACUUUAACCUUGAAGAAAAAAUUAAUACUGGGUAUCGGUUUCGGUUGCAAGAUGUGCCGCAAAAUUAUCUCUUCAAAUCAUACGAGCAACUUUAAUUUGAAAAAACAUUUAAAGACUGUGCACACUUCAUAUAAAGAGAUUGAAAAAUAUCUCAAAAGUUUUGGGGUAAUGGAAGAAGAUAAACCCACUUCCAAAUCAAAUUUAAUACAAACAAAAUUAACCAAUUUGGAUUCAUCAACACCUGGUGUAUCCCAAAAAUUGGCUGACAGUCAUUAUGAACUUUAUAAUAGAUACAGUUCAACCAUUAUCCUUGGUGGAAAAUGAUUCUUUUAUAAAGAUGAUAAACACUUUUUCUCCACGGACCAAGAUAUUUUGCCGGCAGACAUUGAUGGCAAGAAAUUUGGAGAGCUUUAAGGAAAUGAAAGAAUCUUUGAUAUUAAAUCUAUCAGAUGUCUCCUACGUCUGUACAACGGCAGAUUGCUGGACUCACAAUAGAAGAGCUUAUUUAGGAGUAACUGCACAUUAGAUUGAUCCUAAAAAUCUUAAACGAAAAUCUGUAGCGUUAGCUCUAAAGAGAAUAAUUGGCUGUCAGACUUAUGACAUUCUAGCCAAUAUUAUUGCAGAAAUCCAUAGGUCUUACAAAAUUCAAAACAAGGUUUGUAAGAUGAUUACGGAUAAUGGGUCUAAUUUCCUGAAGGCCUUCAGAAUAUUUGGGGAAGAUAAUAAUAAUAACAAUACUAGUAAUAUUCCUGACAAAAAUAUUGAAGAUGGAAAACAAGAAGAGGAAGAUGAAAUGGAGUUUGAGAUAAUUGAUGUUCAUGACAUCCUUGGUUUUAAAUUAUUUUAUUUUUAAUAUUUCACCACUAUAAAAUAAAAAUUAUAAUAUUUAGGAUCUUCAAUAAAGUCUUCUAUGUUAUCUAGCCAUCAUCGAUGUUCCUGCCACAACCUAAAUUUAGUUGCAACAGUGGAUGCUGAAGAAGCAUUAUUAAAUGAGGAUUUUAAAAGAGUAUCAAGAUCUACAUUUUCUAAAUGCCAAGCUCUUUAGAAUAAACAAAAUAAGCCAUCAAAGACGUCUGAUAUUUUCA